rnacentral:rRNA from 1 species
UGUGGGAAUUUUCCGCAAUGGGCGCAAGCCUGACGGAGCAAUACCGCGUGAGGGAGGAAGGCUCUUGGGUUGUAAACCUCAAAACUUAGGGAAGAAAAAAAUGACGGUACCUAAUAUAAGCAUCGGCUAACUCCGUGCCAGCAGCCGCGGUAAUACGGAGGAUGCAAGCGUUAUCCGGAAUCAUUGGGCGUAAAGCGUCCGUAGGUGGCAUUUAAAGUCUGCUGUCAAAGACCGAAGCUCAACUUCGGGUCGGCGGUGGAAACUGAAAAGCUAGAGUAUAGUAGGGGUAGAGGGAAUUCCUAGUGUAGCGGUGAAAUGCGUAGAGAUUAGGAAGAACACCAGUGGCGAAGGCGCUCUACUGGGCAUAUACUGACACUGAGGGACGAAAGCUAGGG